ACCCCCUCAGGGUCACACCUGGAGAAUUUCCAGUCCUCUGCCAGUCUUGGCUAAGGGAGGGAGAGUCAAGCAGAGGCAUACCCAUUCUAUUCCUAGCUUGGCCAGUGGCUAGCAAAUGGAAGACAAUCUGGUACAAGU